UACAGAGGGUGCAAGCGUUAAUCGGAGUUACUGGGCGUAAAGGGCGCGUAGGUGGUUAGAUAAGUGAGAUGUGAAAUCCCUGGGCUUAACCUAGGAACUGCGCCUUAUACUGUUUAGCUGGAGUAUGAUAGAGGGUAGUGGAAUUUCCGGUGUAGCGGUGGAAUGCGUAGAGAUCGGAAAGAACACCAACGGCGAAAGCACUCUGCUGGGCCGACACUGACACUGAGAGACGAAAGCUAGGGGAGCAAAUGGG
rnacentral:rRNA from 1 species